GUUGGUUAUGGAGUGACUUCUAGUAGAUAUUGGCAGAGUCCUCGAACAAAAGGAUCAUCAAAAGAACGAAUUGCACAACUGGAGUUUCAACUACAUAACGAGAGACUUGAGCGUGGGAAAAAAGAUGAACAAAUUAAGACCCCUUCGAUGCAGAUGGCAGAAACAAAUAACACACUUAAUCAAGUUUUAGCUCAUCUGGCUGCACAAGGACAAACAUUACAAAUAUGUUCAUUAUCUGCAGACAAAAUGUCACAAACACAAGUAAAUUCUUUGGAUAAACAUGACGGAUCAAAGCAUAAGGCCAAUGCUACCGCAU